GCUGGAGGGGGACAGGUAGUUAAGGGCCUGGCGUCUCCCUCCCUGAAGACGUGGUCCCAGCCGGGUGUCCUGACGCUCGGGGUUCAGGACAAGGGCACACAACUGGUUCCGUUAAGCCCCUCUCUCGCUCAGACGCCAUGGAGCUGGAUCUGUCUCCACCUCAUCUUAGCAGCUCUCCGGAAGACCUUUGCCCAGCCCCUGGGACCCCUCCUGGGACUCCCCGGCCCCCUGAUACCCCUCUGCCUGAGGAGGUAAAGAGGUCCCAGCCUCUCCUCAUCCCAACCACCGGCAGGAAACUUCGAGAGGAGGAGAGGCGUGCCACCUCCCUCCCCUCUAUCCCCAACCCCUUCCCUGAGCUCUGCAGUCCUCCCUCACAGAGCCCCAUUCUCGGGGGCCCCUCCAGUGCAAGGGGGCUGCUCCCCCGCGAUGCCAGCCGCCCCCAUGUGAGUUGUCCCUCAGAAGGGAAGGGAGGGAUGCACGGGUUCUGGGUCUGUGGGAGAUACACAGCCGCUUCCAUGGAGGCGGGGGAUCUUGGUUAGGAGUCCCUGAGGGUCUAGCAGGUGCGGAAAGGGAAUGAAUCACCCUUUGCCUCCCCUCAAGUCGUGUGCAAUUCCUGGGGCGCAGGUAGUAAAGGUGUACAGUGAGGAUGGGGCCUGCAGGUCUGUGGAGGUGGCAGCAGGUGCAACAGCUCGCCACGUGUGUGAAAUGCUGGUGCAGCGAGCUCACGCCUUGAGCGACGAGACCUGGGGGCUGGUGGAGUGCCACCCCCACCUAGCACUGGAGCGGGGUUUGGAGGACCACGAGUCCGUGGUGGAAGUGCAGGCUGCCUGGCCCGUGGGCGGAGAUAGCCGCUUCGUCUUCCGGAAAAACUUCGCCAACACUCCCUGUUCCCAGAAAAAAUGGUCUCCAGCUGUCUCGAUGCACACACUGGUAUAUCCCAUGAAGACCUCAUCCAGAACUUCCUGAAUGCUGGCAGCUUUCCUGAGAUCCAGGGCUUUCUGCAGCUGCGGGGUUCAGGACGGAAGCUUUGGAAACGCUUUUUCUGCUUCUUGCGCCGAUCUGGCCUCUAUUACUCUACCAAGGGCACCUCUAAGGAUCCGAGGCACCUGCAGUACGUGGCAGAUGUGAACGAGUCCAACGUGUACG
rnacentral:sRNA from 1 species